AUUCAAGUGGGUGGCGGGUAAAACCGUCAUUCGCUCCCCAUCGUUUACUUUGAGAAAAUUGGAGUGCUCAAAGCAGGCACAACCCUGCCUUGAACAAUGCAGCAUGGGAUAAUAGAACAGGACGAAGGUCCUAUUUUGUUGGUUUCUAGGGCUUUUGUAAUGAUUAAAAGGGACAGUUGGGGGCAUUCGUAUUCAAUUGUCAGAGGUGAAAUUCUAGGAUUAAUUGAAGACGAACUACUGCGAAAGCAUUUGCCAAGGAUGUUUUCAUUAAUCAAGAACGAAAGUAGGGGGAUCGAAGAUGAUCAGAUACCGUCGUAGUCUCUACCAUAAACGAUGCCGACCAGGGAUCCGGAGAAGUUACGUGGAUGACUCCCCGGGCACCUUGUGAGAAAUCAUAAGUCGCUGGGUUCUGGGGGGAGUAUGGUCGCAAGGCUGAAACUUAAAGGAAUUGACGGAAGGGCACCACCAGGCGUGGAACCUGCGGCUUAAUUUGACUCAACACGGGGAAACUUACCAGGUCCAGACACAGUAAGGAUUGACAGAUUGAG
rnacentral:rRNA from 1 species